rnacentral:rRNA from 1 species
UACGUAGGGCGCAAGCGUUGUCCGGAAUUAUUGGGCGUAAAGAGCUCGUAGGCGGUGUGUCGCGUCGGUCGUGAAAACUUGGGGCUUAACCCUGAGCUUGCGGUCGAUACGGGCAUCACUGGAGUUCGGCAGGGGAGACUGGAAUUCCCGGUGUAGUGGUGAAAUGCGUAGAUAUCGGGAGGAACACCAGUGGCGAAGGCGGCUUCCUGGCCUGUUCUUGACGCUGAGGCGCGAAAGCUAGGGGAGCAAACGGG